AAUCUGUUUUUUUUUUUCAACCUUCAUUAUCAUGGUACAUAUCCCUUUCACCGUGGCCCGUGAGAAAAUAUGUAUGUUUAUUGCAUAUAUGUCCAAGUUCAUCGAAUAUUUAGUUUUUCACGGUAUGGUUGAAAAACUAAAUAAUCGGCAUUUGGAAUUGGAGUGUUUUAGUUAAGAGUUAACGGUUUUGUCUUGUACACGUUAAAUACCAAGAGCUGGUCAGAUGGGAACAGACUCAAUUAUUUGAAGUUGGGAGAGGAGAUGUUACAUAAACUUAAUCAAUGCAGUUGUAAUGUCUUUCUCAACUAAUUACAUUAUCUUUU
rnacentral:misc_RNA from 1 species